rnacentral:tRNA from 1 species
GCUUUCGAGGUGAAACGGUAGCACACUCGGCUCGUAUUCGAGAGGUCCAGGUUUGGAGUCCCGGCGAGGGCA